rnacentral:rRNA from 1 species
AUUGAACGCUGGCGGCAGGCCUAACACAUGCAAGUCGAGCGGAGCGUCAGGCGGGGGAGUAAUGCCUAGGAAUCUGCCUGGUAGUGGGGGAUAACGUUCAGAAAAGGGCGCUAAUACCGCAUCCUAUCAGAUGAGCCUAGGUCGGAUUAGCUAGUUGUUGGGGGAAAGGCAUACCAAGGCGACGAUCCUUAACUGGUCUGAGAGGAGGAUCAGUCACACUGGAACUGAGACACGGUCCAGACUCCUACGGGAGGCAGCAGUGGGGAAUAUUGGACAAUGGGCGCAAGCCUGAUCCAGCCAUGCCGCGUGUGUGAAGAAGGCCUUCGGAUUGUAAAGCACUUUAAGUUGGGAGGCGUUACCAGCAGAAUAAGCACCGGCUAACUUCGUGCCAGCAGCCGCGGUAAUAC